rnacentral:rRNA from 1 species
UGGGGAAUAUUGCACAAUGGGCGCAAGCCUGAUGCAGCCAUGCCGCGUGUGUGAAGAAGGCCUUCGGGUUGUAAAGCACUUUCAGCGAGGAGGAAGGUGGUGAGCUUAAUACGCUCAUCAAUUGACGUUACUCGCAGAAGAAGCACCGGCUAACUCCGUGCCAGCAGCCGCGGUAAUACGGAGGGUGCAAGCGUUAAUCGGAAUUACUGGGCGUAAAGCGCACGCAGGCGGUUUGUUAAGUCGGAUGUGAAAUCCCCGGGCUCAACCUGGGAACUGCAUUUGAAACUGGCAAGCUAGAGUCUCGUAGAGGGGGGUAGAAUUCCAGGUGUAGCGGUGAAAUGCGUAGAGAUCUGGAGGAAUACCGGUGGCGAAGGCGGCCCCCCUGGACGAAGACUGACGCUCAGGUGCGAAAGCGUGGGGCAGCAAACAGGAUUAGAUACCCUGGUAGUCCA